UUGGUAUACGUUUUAGGUUUCAUAGAACCUGCAUCAAUGGAUUUUUAUUACCCAAAUUUCCAAAAUGUGUGUGUGUAGCAGCUUCCAAAACUUAAAGAAUAAGAGGUUUGUCUUUUUGUCUGGAAGCUGCCAAAAACUCUGGCUGUGCCAGAUAAAUCUGGCAUAAUGGCAUCCCUGAUCACACCCUUUAUUUUUAUUUGUUUCUUUUGUUACAAUAUAUGCAACUCGAUGCAACAGGAAGCGACGACUAAAAACAAUAGCCCAAAUACAUCAGCAACAAGAAGGAAAACUACGCACAAGAAAAUAGCAAACCAAAAUCUCUCUACUAUCUAUUAAUUUUUUGCCUCCGAUUAUCCUCUAUGUAAUGUAUCUGAAACUUGUGGAACUAGUUAACAGCCGGCGCUUGCUUGUGGAAGAAACUGAUGUACUAUACGGACUAGCACAUGCGAACAGUUAGGCUUUGUAAGGUCUCAUCUUGACAGAGUCUAGAUGGGCGGAUGAACAUCUGCCAGAGUUCGGACUGAGAAAUGACAAUGAAAAUGAUGAAAUCUGCGAGCCUACAUCUAAAAUUUCCGGGAAUCAGAGGGAGAAGAUUCGUCUUGUUUGAUAUUUUCCCGGCAAAUGGAGUAUUCUAGCCGGAUCUGUAGGAAUUCUUAAAAAUGCACCGAUUAUGCUGAUGCUGGAAUGAAAAAUAACUGCAAGCACGCCAAAUGUAAUACUAGUGAAAAAGAUUCGCACCAAAGCUGUUACCUUUUCUGAUGACGAAGAGUUUGGAGAACCUCAUCAUGCACACCGAAGUGGUUACGAGCGCAUAAAAACAAACGAUGCACAAAAGUCUCUAUUCUUUUCAGAUGAAGAUGAAUUGCACUUGGCCCUCGUCUAUGUACCAUCUGUAAAGAAUGGACCUCGAAUGCGAUAUCACGAGUAGGAAAGUUCUGUUCGUUUCCGUCACGGUAAAACGGUUUCUACGAAACCUCUAGAUUUGUCGCCCCUUCUGCGAUUGAACAUAAAAUUCGACGCCAUAGUGCUGCAAAGGGUGUGUUCGAUGCUCACGCGAAUUGAGCUUAACCUGUACUGCAGCUGUUAAUAUUGUCUAAUCGCAACCGAGUGUCAUGCCUUCAAAGCUACAUUUUUGUCCUCGUGAACAACAUUUACUUAUCGACUUAUGACCGAAACGUGGUGCUCACCUUCCAUGUAUAAUUCCGUCGAUGUUCGUUCAACCUUUUGGAAGAGUAGAAAAAUAGUAAGUUGUCUGACGAUCAGUAUAAUUACUUAUUUACUCAUACCCGCUGUUUCAUAAAUAGUUUAGCUU